rnacentral:lncRNA from 1 species
GAAGGGGCGUAGCGGAGCGGGUAAGGCAAAAAGAAAAUAGAAUCAAGUUGAUUCUUAGCAUCGUAGAUUGCAUGGUAUUCAAUCGAAAACCUCUCUGAGCUAAGAGAAUGAAAGGGGGCUUCACUUCAGUCUCAGAUGUCUAUUCACAAGUACUUUCUCGAAAGGAAUCCCCGCUUUUUUUUCAAGGAAAAAAGAUUCACUCUAAAGCUAAAGUAAGUCCCCUCUUCCUUUUAUGGGAGAGAAUAAGAAACUUUCUCUCCAUCUCGCCUAGACAUGAGUAGCUUUCACCCGAGACGAAAGCCCUUGGAAUAAAAUAUUAGCUGCCUCCAGGCUUUUACGGCAUUAGAGAAUUGAUUGGAAAAGCCCUUGACUUAUUUAGUAAAAGUCAGAGGUUUUUACCAAUUCAUUAAGUUAGAACGCUUGCCCAGUGAUGGAAGUAUUGGUUGGAAGCCCCCCAAAAGGGGGCCUACGCUUGCUCCUCCGUUUUGAAUCUCGAAACCGGUGUCAUUUCCUCUUCAUUGAUGCUAUACUGCAAUGUGGAUAAGGGUCCUUCAUCCAAUACUUCUUCAGUAGUCGGGGUUCCUAUCAACUAGCCGAGCGGGGAGUGGGGAAGGGUAUAUGGCUGACCCAGGCAGCGAAGGCUUCCACAAGAAGCCAGCCACAGCAUACCCUAGAACAAGCGCAUCGAAGUGGUCAGAGGAGAGGACCUUAGGAGGCAGACUCAUCGCCCUGGGGCAGAGAACUAGCAUAAAGCCAUAACUCUCUGGGCGUCAAAUGCAACCCAUGCCCAACAUCCAAUCAGCUACAUCACACUCUUCUGAGUGGAAAAGGUUCGAGUGAAAGCCAGCUGCAUGAAGUACAUCAUAUGUCCGCGGGUAUGAAAGGGUCAUACCAUUCAUGCACAAGAUUCGUCACCCACACUUGCUUACCUAUAGAAAAAUAACAUUUAAUCCUUCAUACUGAGCAUUCAUGUCCAUCACGGAGAGUUCCAUGAUACAUAAAGAUCCAUCUGACGAGCUAGCAGCACCGGAGCCUCGUUCAGUAUGAAGUUUCAUGCAAGCCUAUGUCCAUCUCGUGUACCGGAAGAGGGAAAGCAACCCGCGACAUUAGAUACUUGAAUAGUUUUAUACACUCCGAGUUGUUGCGAUUGCCUUCCUUCUCCCUUCAUUCCACA